AGAUUGAACGCUGGCGGCGUGCUUAACACAUGCAAGUCGAGCGGUAACGCGGGAGCAAUCCUGGCGACGAGCGGCGAACGGGUGAGUAAUGCUUGGGAAUCUGCCCAUUAGUGGGGAACAACCAGCCGAAAGGUUGGCUAAUACCGCAUACGCCCUACGGGGGAAAGCGGGGGAUCGUAAGACCUCGCGCUAAUGGAUGAGCCCAAGUCGGAUUAGCUUGUUGGUAGGGUAACGGCCUACCAAGGCGACAAUCCGUAGCUGGUCUGAGAGGACGACCAGCCACACUGGGACUGAGACACGGCCCAGACUCCUACGGGAGGCAGCAGUGGGGGAAUAUUGGACAAUGGGGGAAACCCUGAUCCAGCGACGCCGCGUGUGUGAAGAAGGCCUGCGGGUUGUAAAGCACUUUUAGUGGGGAUGAAAAGCCUAGGGUUAACACCUCUGGGUCUUGACCUAACCCACAGAAAAAGCACCGGCUAACUCUGUGCCAGCAGCCGCGGU
rnacentral:rRNA from 1 species